GACUCAUUGCAAGGUUAGUCCUUCAGUGUUAAUUUUUUUUCCCAUACUACAGCCAUUCCUGAAGCAGAUUGGAGGACUAAGUCAAAUUGAAAGAAAGUUAGAAGAGAUAUGAAACAUAGCAUGUGGAAAAAUCCAGCAGUUAAGAGUCAACUUUUCACUCACCAUGUGUCAGUCCAAAGGAAGAAAUUUUAGAACAGUUUCACCAGGAAAAAGGUUUCCGGUCCAGUCAGCAGAUUCUCUACCAGCCUCCACUCCAAAGAAUGAAGAACUCUCUCUUAUAGGAACUUGUAAUUCCUUUUAAAGAUGCUUUCUUUUGCAUCA